AUGGAGCCGGCGGCGAGGAAGUGGCACGGGAAGGGGCUCCUGACGCGGGCGCUGCUCCUCGGCGUCGCCGCGCUCGCGCUCCGCCUGCUGUACGGGGCGUUCGUGACCGUGGGCGGCGGGUGGGCGCCCGACCCGGCCGUGCCGUCCACCGCGGUGGUCGGGAGGAGGACCCACGCGCAGGCCGCGGCGGCCUCGGGGUCGCCGGAGGCGUGGCGCAGCCACGGGUGGCGCGAGGCGGUGGAGUUCCACGCCGGGGUGCUCGGGCGGCACCUCGCCGACGGCCUCGUCGGGCCGUCCUCCCGCGCCGUGUGCCUCGGCGGGGCCCAGCAGGCGCUCGCGCUGCGGGAGCUCGGCGUGGCCGGCGCCGUCGCCGUCGCGAGGAGGCGCUCCCCGCCGCUCGCCGUCGCCGGUGACGACCGCCGGCUCCCGUUCGAGUCCUCCUCCGUGGACUUCGUCUUCGCCGGCCGCGCCCUCGACUCGUCCAGGCGCCCGGCCGACCUCGCCGGCGAGGCCGCGCGGAUCUUGAGGCCGGAGGGCCAUCUCGUCGUGCUCACCUCCAGCGCCGGCGACGCCUACAGCCUCCGCUCGCUUCAGGCGCUCUUGCCGUCGCUGCGGUUGCUCCGAUCUCGCGAGAUCAACAGCCCCGACGCGUCCACCCUCCGGGAACUGGUCUUCCAGAAGCUUCAGCCUACUACGGCGUCCACCUCCACUGAAAAUUCAGCGAGCAACUGCACAAUUGGGGAUCACAAGAUGCAGCUCCUGACGCACGCCGAGCCGCUGAUCGAGGAAGAGCCGCUGAAGCCAUGGCUGACGCUGAAGCGAAACAUCCAGAACAUCAAGUACCUUCCAGAGCUUGCCGACAUCAGCUUCAAGCGCCGGUAUGUGUACGUUGAUCUCGGCUCGCGCAGCUACGGAUCCAGCAUCGGCAGCUGGUUCCGGAAGCAGUACCCAAAGCAGAACCACACCUUCGAGGUGUUCGCCAUCGAGGCCGACCCGACGUUCCACCCUGAUUACGCCACAAGGAAGGGGGUCACAUUGCUCCCGUACGCCGCCUGGGUCAAGAAUGACACGCUCAGCUUCGAGAUCAAUGGCGACCCCGGAAAGGAGGACGAGGCCAAGGCCAGUGGCCGUGGCAUGGGGCGCAUCCGCCCCACGGCCGGUAAGAAGAUGUCCGGCAAGGUGCGCAGUGUGCAGGCGUUUGAUUUCGCCGAGUGGCUGAAGCAGACGGUGUCGGAGCAGGACUACGUGGUGAUGAAGAUGGAUGUGGAGGGGACUGAGUUUGACUUGAUCCCGAGGCUCUUCGACACGGGCGCGAUCUGCUUGGUCGACGAGGUGUUCCUCGAGUGCCAUUACAACCGGUGGCAAAGGUGCUGCCCUGGCGAGCGGUCGCCUAAGUAUCAGAACACAUACGAGGAGUGCCUCGAGCUCUUCAGCUCGCUCCGGGAGAGCGGCGUUCUUGUGCAUCAGUGGUUUUGA
rnacentral:rRNA from 1 species